rnacentral:rRNA from 1 species
CCCAAAUACCCGAUCUAUAAAUUUCCCCUUCUUGAAACCCGGGCCCAGGGGUUUUUUAAAAUUUGCCCGCGUUACCCGGGGAAUGCCCCUAAACCCAAAGGGGGCAAUGGAAAAGCGGGGGGGGCUCCCACGGGUUAAACCCCCGGCCCAACCCCCAAAGGGAAGAACGGCCGGUUGUUUCCUAACCGGGUGCGGCCCGGCCAGCCCCCCCCGGGGGGCCCCUCGGGCUUGGGCGGCAGGGCGCACCCCGGGAGCGGCACACGUUGGGGACCCCGAAAAAGAAUGGUUAAACCUACUCCCCGGGCCAGGGACGAAAGUCAAGGGGAAACCCCUUGAUGGGAGGUCCCGCAAGCGAUUUUUGACGUGCAAAAUCGAUCGUCAGAGCUAGGUAUAGGGGCGAAAGACUAAUCGAACCAUCUAGUAGCUGGUUCCCUCCGAAGUUUCCCUCAGAAUUGCUGGCGCCGAGUUGGAUUGAGCCAGUCUCAUCCGGUAAAGCGAAUGAUUAGAGGCCUCGGGGCCGAAACGACCUCAACCUAUUCUCAAACUUUAAAUGGGUGAGAUCUCCCGGCUUGCUUGAACGAAGCCGCGAGAAAGCGGAUGAUGUUCCAAAAGUGUGCU